rnacentral:rRNA from 1 species
CUCAGUUCGGAUCGUAGUCUGCAACUCGACUACGUGAAGGCGGAGUCGCUAGUAAUCGCGAAUCAGCAACGUCGCGGUGAAUGCGUUCCCGGGCCUUGUACACACCGCCCGUCAAGUCAUGAAAGUGGGCAGCACCCGAAGCCGGUGGCCUAACCCUUUUGGGAUGGAGCCGUCUAAGGUGAGGCUCGUGAUUGGGACUAAGUCGUAACAAGGUAGCCGUACCGGAAGGUGCGGCUGGAUCACCUCCUUUCUACGGAG